rnacentral:misc_RNA from 1 species
AAGUCGUAACAAGGUCUCCGUUGGUGAACCAGCGGAGGGAUCAUUGCUGGAACGCGCUUCGGCGCACCCAGAAACCCUUUGUGAACUUAUACCUAUUGUUGCCUCGGCGUAGGCCGGCCUCUUCACUGAGGCCCCCUGGAAACAGGGAGCAGCCCGCCGGCGGCCAACCAAACUCUUGUUUCUACAGUGAAUCUCUGAGUAAAAAACAUAAAUGAAUCAAAACUUUCAACAACGGAUCUCUUGGUUCUG